rnacentral:rRNA from 1 species
UUACCGAGUGAGGGCCCUCUGGGUCCAACCUCCCACCCGUGUUUAUUUUACCUUGUUGCUUCGGCGAGCCUGCCUUUUGGCUGCCGGGGGACGUCUGUCCCCGGGUCCGCGCUCGCCGAAGACACCUUAGAACUCUGUCUGAAGAUUGUAGUCUGAGAUUAAAUAUAAAUUAUUUAAAACUUUCAACAACGGAUCUCUUGGUUCCGGCAUCGAUGAAGAACGCAGCGAAAUGCGAUACGUAAUGUGAAUUGCAGAAUUCAGUGAAUCAUCGAGUCUUUGAACGCACAUUGCGCCCUCUGGUAUUCCGGAGGGCAUGCCUGUCCGAGCGUCAUUGCUGCCCUCAAGCACGGCUUGUGUGUUGGGCUCCGUCCUCCUUCCGGGGGACGGGCCCGAAAGGCAGCGGCGGCACCGCGUCCGGUCCUCAAGCGUAUGGGGCUUUGUCACCCGCUUUGUAGGACUGGCCGGCGCCUGCCGAUCAACCAAACUUUUUUCCAGGUUGACCUCGGAUCAGGUAGGGAUACCCGCUGAACUUAAGCAUAUCAAUAAGCGGAGGAAAAGAAACCAACAGGGAUUGCCCCAGUAACGGCGAGUGAAGCGGCAAGAGCUCAAAUUUGAAAGCUGGCUCCUUCGGGGUCCGCAUUGUAAUUUGCAGAGGAUGCUUCGGGAGCGGUCCCCAUCUAAGUGCCCUGGGAACGGGACGUCAUAGAGGGUGAGAAUCCCGUAUGGGGAUGGGGUGUCCGCGCCCGUGUGAAGCUCCUUCGACGA